rnacentral:lncRNA from 10 species
GCACUGUGAGCUGAGAGCCUUCUGCAGCCCAUGGGCGCCAGGCAGCUGCUUUUCCUACAUUGCUUCUCCCACCCACCCUGAGAGGUGGCUUGCCAUUAGACUUGCAGUGCCUAAUUAAGGCCUUCAGGAGCAGAGAUGGAAUGUACUAGACUGUGAGUUCAGGUUUUUCUGACUCUAGAGCCUGUGCUGGAGAGAACUGUAACCUAACAGGCUAUAUAGUCCAGAGGGGGACACGUGGACUCUGACAUCACAACUUUCUGUGAACCAUGCCCUCUACAGACGUGCUCUGCUAUGAAUGAAGCCUUUCUUCUCUACCCAUGAAUUCUACAGCAUUGUGAACAUACCUCUAUUAUAACAUGACUGAAUAAUGUCUCAUUUUUUACGUGAACUGAUUUUUUUAUAAGAUUAUGAACUUCUUGAAUGGAAGAACCAUGUCUCAUUGUUCCCUAUACCUUCACUGCCUAGCCCAGUGCCUGAGAGACAGUCCCUCAAGUCUCCACUUCCUUCCUCAUCCUCUUGAGAUGUUGCGAUCACUUCCACCCAAAGAUUUCCAGCCCUAAUUCCUGGAACCUGGAAAUGUGACCUUCGAAGGGAAAAGGGCCUUUGCAGAUAUAAUUAAGUGAAGGAUCUUGACACGAGGAGACUAUGCUGGAUUAUCCAGUGAGCCCUAAACCCAGUCCCAAGUGGCCUCCUAAGAGAGAGCAGAGGAAGAUUUCACACACACAGAAGAAGGGGAGGUCACGUGCAGGCAGAGAUGGAAGUAAGUUGGCCACAAGCCAAGAAGUGCUGCAGCCUUGGAAGCCCCAGAAGCUGGAAGAGACAGGAACAACCCUCCCAGAGCCUUUGAAGGGAGCAUGGCCCUGCUGAUACCUUGAUUUCAGCCCAGAGAAAGUGAUUUGGGACUCUGGCCUCCAGAACAGUGACACGGCGACUUUCCACCAAGAACACCAUUGUGUAGAGGCACCUACUGUGCCAGGCACUGUUGGAGGCACUGGGGAUGAAUCAGCAAGCAAGACAGAAGGUCCCUGCACUCACAUAACUUACUGCUCAGGAAUCGCCACUGGACUCAGCCUGCACAGCACAGCAAGACCCUGGCUCUUAAGAAAAAAAAAGAAUGAUGGGGAUGCAUCCCAGGACAAACAGCAGUUUUGGAGGUGGGCCCUGGGCAUGGGUUUUUGUGCACAGCUCCCUCAGCAAUGCUGAUGGGGAUCCAGGGCUGAGACCCACAGAACUGGGGGAUGAACUUCAACCUCACAUUCACCACCUUCCAAACCACCCUCAGGGAAGACUCACCCGAUGUCUGGUGAGCAUGUUUCCCUUCAGACACUGAUAGCGAACCAUGAGGAAGAGGGCAGCCCAGGUCAGCACAAGGGAGAGGAGGAAGGCAAUGAAGAACCCUGCUGCGUGGAGGCCGUGGUGCGGCAGAACCUGUGGAGACAAGAGGAGAGCAGGAUUCAUGUGUGGUCAGACAGCAUGUCUCCCAGGCCUCACAGAUGAUUGAGUGUCAGAGCAGACCAAGCAGGGACCAGGGGACUCGCUUGCAUUUGAGUCUCGCUCUGCCAGCUACCAGCUGGCUGCCUGGAGGCCCUCGCUGGUCCUCUCUGAGCCUGAACUUCCUCAGUGCAUGACAAGCCUGUCAAAGACCUGAGGCAUGGUGAUUUGCACACAAUAGCACCAUCCAGCCGCACGCCUAGCACAUCACAGACACUCAAGAAUGUUAAGUUUCCAAAUCAAAAACAUGAUAAUCCAAAGGAAGCACUAGGGAUCCGUGACAUUUUCUGAGAAUCACAGGUAGAAUUUUGCAGAGGCCAGAGGAAGAACCCAUGGCACCCUCACCUUCCCGCUACCCUCUAUUAACUUUAGAUUAAAUAAUUAAACCCCAAUUUUUACGGUAUUAUAUUUAGAGAAAAUCUCUUGUCUUCUGACUGGUGAGAUUAGUGGGCCACAUUUACCCCCGCCCCUCCUUCCCUGCUUCUGCCUUCUAGCAUUUUUUAGGUUUAUAGCAUAUAUAUUUUGUUCUGCAACCAGAAUUCAAUCCUGAUUAUUGUUUAUAGGUUAAUCCCAGCAACUACAAAUUUUAAAAGACAAUAUUAUUAUGAUUAGGCAAAAUUUGCUCACUGCAGAGUAAAGUAAUUGGAUCCAAUCCUGUGACACUAAAUAUCUGCUCCUCAAAGGAGUGUGUUCCUAAUUCAGUCCCUUUUCUCACACUUUAUCAAUUAUUCCAAAUCAGGCUACAUUUUUAGUUUGCUUCAGUGUGAAUUAGCACUUCCUUGUGUGACUUUUUGUUUUUCCUGAAGUUUUUCAUGGCCUAUCUUUUUUCUUCCUAGCAUACACCCAUGUUCUUAAUAAUACUAUCUGUUACAGAGAGUCAAAUUUACUUUUUCUUAAAGUCAUCAUUCCCAGAGUUCUCUGACUUUCUGAUUUAAUCAGACCUGGCUACUUUCUAGGUUUUCUGGUAUCAUAGAGAGCUUUUUCUUUUUCUCCACUGCCUUCUAUAUUGUCACAGCAUUACUCAUUGAAGAAAAACUGUUUCUUGGAUCCCAUUUCUUCCUUUUUCUUGGAUAAUUCUUUUUUAUUUUGAUGAAGUAUCCUAAGUAUCUAUUUAUUCUCAAGUAAGUUCGUUUGGAGAAGAUGCUCUUUUCUCACAUCUGGCAAUGCUGUCACUUAGUUCUCAGUUUGACUGAUAGUAUGGCUGGCUACAUAAUUCAUGGCUAAAAUAACUUUCCCUCAAGAUGUUGAUGGUGCCAUUCUACUGUCUUCUGACAGAAGUGUGCCUGAUGGCCUUUUAGAAGAAUCUGUUUUUGUUUUCUGGGUGCUUUUUAAGAUUUCUCCCUUUUCCCUAUAGUUCUGAAUAUCUUAGCAUUUUAAAGAAGAUAUUUGAAUACAUUUCUAAUAAUAUAUAAAAAGUCUUAUAUAGUAAUGUAACUUUGCAAAGAAAUACACACAGUAUAAUCUCCAUUUCACUAAAAUAAAAAUAAUGUGCAUAUAUACAUAUGCAUGUGUAAAUUAUAAAGAA